rnacentral:lncRNA from 1 species
CACCAUUGAGUGCUGGUGGCCUGAGCUGUCUGGCCCUGUGUAGCUUCUCCUGCAUAUUCUGAAGUUGCUCCUGCCCAGCCCAUGUGUGCUUAUCCAAUCACGUGAUACAUCAUUUGGGCCCCCAGACUGACCUGAUCUUGAAGGGGCGUGGAGACAUCCAAUAAGGAAGGCAGGACUUUGGACCAAAAGCAGAGAUGUCACAGUGAUCAGUGCCAAUGAAGAGGACAACAAUCAUGGGCAAUUGCCCUUGGGAUCCAGCUCAGACAUGUCAUAACCAGGAAGCUGAGGACCCUCCAGAGGCCAGCCCUGGAUGGGCCCACAGAUUUCUCAAAAUACUUCACAUCCCUUCACUUCCUGGAGCCCCACAGCAAUGCUGUGAGCUGGGUGAUCCUGUUGUUACCCCGACUUCACAGAUGAGGAGACUGAGGCCUCAGGGUGCACAGGCGGGGAACACCAGUACAGGUCAGAGCGGGGCUUCACCCGUGAGUCUGCCAACCCCCCGGCCGCCUGUUCGCUCCUCCCCUCAUACCAAAGGCCAUGAUGUAAUGACAAAGGAGCACUUUAAAAGCC